CUUGACGACCAUAGAGCAUUGGAACCACCUGAUCCCAUCCCGAACUCAGCAGUGAAACGAUGCAUCGCCGAUGGUAGUGUGGGGUUUCCCCAUGUAAGAGUAGGUCAUCGUCAAGA
rnacentral:rRNA from 1 species